rnacentral:lncRNA from 1 species
AACGAGGUAGCUGCAGUAGCGGAGUCAGGGAAUUUGGCAAAGGAGAUUUUUACAAUUAAAUUAACCGAAAAAACUAUAAAUAAUAUUAGAUUACGAGUUAAAUGAAUUAUAUCAUGGAUUUAAUUAUGUGAACAAUUUUGUCCCAAGUGUGUACGUACUUGAGUCCGGCGAUGGUGGGGUGCAGUUCGAGACGCAGGUACUU